rnacentral:misc_RNA from 1 species
UGGCUCCAGCAUCGAUGAAGAACGCAGCGAAAUGCGAUAAGUAGUGGGAAUUGCAGAACCUCGUGAAUCAUCGAAUCUUUGAACGCACAUUGCGCCCCCUGGCAUUCCGGGGGGCAUGCCUGUCUGAGCGUCGGUUCCGACCACGCCCUCGAGCCCUGCUCGGUCCUGGGCCCCGCCGCUAGGCGGGCUCUAAACGUAGUGGCAGCCCCCGCGGGCCGCGCGCGAGGUACGAUCCCCUAGUGCGUUUUGGUCCCGUAGGUCGGCCGACCAGCAAGCCUCCCCCCUCUCGCAGGUUGACCUCAGAUCAGGUAGGAGUACCCGCUGA